CUGACUUCUGACCUAACUUGAAGGUGUGUGGAGGACUCGAUAUCAAUGGCAUCGGAUUUAACUGGUACAUCACUUUUAGGGCUUGAGAUAGCCACAAACCGUGAUAUUAUUGGGAUCUCUCUAGCCAAUUUAAUUAGGCUUCACUAGAAACGUGCUUCGAGAUCAAAUCCUGGUUUGAUGCUGACUUCUCCCCUGAGGAAGGUUCAUAACACUGAUGACAAACGUAACCAAAUCGAUAAAUUAAGUGUCCCUUUGUCGCGGCCUCAAGAUCUUAGGUUAGCUAUCAUGGCUUCAGAAAGAUUGUUGAUUCUG